AAAGCGAGACUGAGAAAUGGAUUAUUAUAAGCCCCUUCCACUUAGCUCAUAGCUCAAAAGGUCUAAACACCCUUUCUAGGUAUCACUUUGUCAAUCUAGUUUGAAUGAAGCCCUGGGAAAUAUUUCUUUAAAUAAGUGACUAUCCUGGGUUAUUCGUGAUUUCAGUCUUGUUUAUCCCCCACUGUUGGACCAAAGUGGGGACUUUAUGCUCAAUCCUGGAGUAUCCCUGGGAAGGAGAUAGAAUGAUGAGGAGUUGUCUAAUCUGAGUGGAA